ensembl:processed_transcript Gm38182 predicted gene, 38182
ACUGACAGUUCACCAUCCUGCAUCCUAACGUGCAUUCUGCUGCUGUCAAAGGGUACAGUGGCUGAGGGUCUGCACCGCGCUCCACGGCUGCCCCGGAAUGGUGCCCGCCAUGGCACCCGAUAUCUUAGGUUUCUGGGUUCCACCCACAUCGCUGUCACUGGUGAACUGCAGUAUGAGUCAUUGGCAAGUCCUGGGUCUUCCUUCUCCCCAGAGUAAUCGGAGAUGCUCACACUCUCUCCUCCUGGGAGCCUGUGUGAGAAUUAAUUACCUGCAUAUCCCAGAAACUGGUGAAGUCGUGGCUGUAGGAGAAUGUGUGGUGGGAUACAUCUCCAAGAAAGGGACCUGCGGAAGUUAAAAAUUCAUCGGUGGCUGGCGAACCCUGCACAUUGAGCUGGUUGGGAGAGGACUAUGGAUCAGUUGGCUCUGUCUGGAGCCUGUAGAAUGUGGUCCCACUGGAUUCCUUCCCAGCCACUUUCUCCGCCUUGGACAGAGCUGCCUUGUUCCCAUCUCCUUGGUCACAGGCCAUUGUGAGGCAUGAAGUUCUGGGGCAAGCCCCGCCCAACACUGACUGGCGUUUCUCUCAAGCCCAGAGGCCCGGCACGAGCGGAUCCCAAAAUGGUGAUGAAACUGGCACCUGGCCCAACAACCAGUUUGAUACAGAGAUGCUGCAAGCCAUGAUCUUGGCUUCUGCCAGCGAAGCCGCCGAUGGGAGCUCUACCCUGGGAGGGGGCGCUGGCACCAUGGGUCUGAGCGCUCGAUACGGACCCCAGUUUACCCUGCAGCACGUGCCUGACUACCGCCAGAACGUGUACAUCCCUGGCAGCAAUGCCACGCUGACCAAUGCCGCCGGCAAACGAGAUGGCAAGGCUCCUGCGGGUGGUAACGGCAACAAGAAGAAGUCGGGCAAGAAAGAGAAGAAGUAAUAUGGAGGCCAGGCCUUGAGCCACAAGGCAGCCUCCCUCCCCAGCCAGUCCAGCUCCUCCUUACUUGUACC